UACGGGGGGUGCGAGCGUUGUCCGGAAUCACUGGGCGUAAAGGGCGCGUAGGUGGUUUGAUAAGGGUGUGGUGAAAGUCCGGGGCUCAACCCCGGAUCUGCCGUGCCGACUGUCAAACUCGAGGGCUGUAGAGGCAGACGGAAUUCCGGGUGUAGCGGUGGAAUGCGUAGAGAUCCGGAGGAGACCGGUGGCGAAGGCGGCACUGGGCCAUG
rnacentral:rRNA from 1 species